AUGCCUGUGGUGAGCGCCUCCCAGGGCGCCGUGCAGGUCCUGUUGGGGAAGCUCGGCAACAUCCUCGCCACAAAAUAUGCGCUUCUCAGCGGCGUUCGUGGGGAGAUCCAGGAGCUCAAGGACGAGCUCGAGAGCAUGACCGCAUGCCUACACGACCUCGCGGACGAUGAUGAUCACAACGAACAAACUAGGACUUGGAUGAAGCAAGUGAGGGAGGUUGCGUUCGAUGUGGAGGACUGUAUGGACAGGUUCCGCCGUCACCUCAGCGAGCACCAUGGAGACCGUCAAGGACUCCUGGAAUACCUGUAUAGGAUGUUCAACAAGUUGCGAACAUUGAGGGUGCGGCACAAGGUGGCCACGGGUAUCCAGGGCCUCAAAUCUCGUGCCCAAAAAGUGAGCGACCGGAGGCUCAGGUACACUCUAAAUGACUCAGCAGGACGGUCGAGCAAAGCUCUUGAUUCUUACAGCCACCUUGAAAACCUCAGCCACUGGCUGCCUGAAAUCAGUGGUGACGGGUCCGGGCUAGUGGGGAUGCACGGCAGAACUGAUGAGGUGGUCCGGUUGCUCAAGGAGCCACGCCAGGCAGCAGCGGGUCCCCGAGUAUUGUCCAUAGUGGGGUUCGGAGGCCUCGGCAAAACCACCCUCGCGACGACUGUCUACAACACCCCAAAGUUGGGAAGCAUCCAGUGCCGCGCUUUCGUUCCAGUGUCCCAGACAUAUGACAUCCGUUCUCUGCUCGAGUCCGUGUUGAAGCAGCUUCCACUUUUGGCUGACGAAGAUAGAAAUUAUGAUCCCCUCCUGAACAUGAAAGGCUGGAACACAAGGGAACUAGUUGACAAGAUCAAACAACAUUUGGAGGGCAAGAGGUACUUGAUCGUUCUGGAUGAUGUUUGGCAAGCAGCUGCAUGGGAUCAGCUAAAGGUAGCUAUUCCUCAUGAUAAUAAUAAUGAGGGUAGCAUAGUAAUUACUACACGCAGUCACGAGGUAGCGAAAAAUUGCUGCACCUCUUCUAAUGACCGUAUCUACGAAAUGAAACGCUUAGAGGAGGAUGAUUCACAUCAGCUAUUCUUCAAGACGGUGUUUGAAUCAGGGGAAUGCCCGACCGACCUGCUGAAAGUUUCUAAGGCCAUACUGGCAAGGUGCAACGGUCUGCCUCUAGCUAUAGUGAGCAUAGGACGAAUGCUAGCUCGGAGGCAAAACAAGACAUCGGCAGAAUGGCAAACAGUAUGUGAUAGGCUGGGUUCUGAACUAGAGACAAACCCCACUUUAGAGGGAAUGAGACGGAUACUUGCUCUCAGCUACAAUGAUCUGCCGUAUCAUCUGAAAGCAUGUUUUUUGUACCUGUGUGCUUUCCCAGAGGAUUUUGAUAUCAGAAGAGGCUCUCUGAUUAGACGGUGGGCAGCUGAAGGCUUGAUCAUUGGAAUGUAUGGCCGCAGUUUGGAAGAGAUUGCUCAGAUUUAUUUGGACGAGUUUGUGAGUAGAAGCAUCGUCAUCCCUGGACAGAUUGGCUGCACUGGCAAGAUUAGGAGUUGUAAAGUCCACGACAUAAUGUUAGAAGUCAUCAUCGCCAAAUCUGUCAAGGAAAAUUUUAUCUCAUUCCUAGGGAGCAGCCAAUACAACACAGCAGGCCAUGACAAGGUGCGACGGCUCUCCAUCCAUCCUGGUGGCGGCAAGGAGAAGAGAACAUUUUCCAGUAAAAACAUAGUUCAUACCCGUUCACUGUCAAUUCUGGGCAGCACUGAGAAACCUGUACCCAUCAAAUUUGCUGAUUUGACACUUUUAAGGGUUUUAGAUCUUGAAGGAUGUGGAUGGUUAAGAGAUCAAGAUGUGAAGGACAUUUGCAAACUGCCUCUGUUGAGAUACCUAAGCCUUAGAAACACUGCCAUAUCCCAACUACCAAAUGCAAUAGGGAAACUUAAAGAAUUGGUGACAUUGGAUGUAAGGGAAACUUCUAUUGGCGAAUUUCCCAAAGGCAUUACUCAGCUCCAAAAUCUGAGUCAUCUGCUUGUAGGCCGUUAUCAAUAUUACACAAGGACACGAAGUGUCAAGCAUUUAAAGGGUCAAGGAGCGAAGCUACCACAUGGAUUAGGGAAUAUGGGUGCCCUCCAGAGAAUCUCUCAUGCAGAUAUCUCUACAGAGAAAAGCUCCCGUGCAAUGCGUGAGCUGGGAAAAUUGUGUCAGUUAACCAGAUUGUGUGCAAUCAACAAGGGGGAAUCAAAGUUGUGGGAACCCUUUGCCGCUUCUUUGAAUGAGCUUAGCAACUCUCUUCGCCAUCUAUCGGUUGUGCACAAUAGUACACCCACAGGCCAGGAGCUGGAAUUUUUAGUAGGCCUAAGCAACCCCCCUCUGUUUCUGCAGAGCCUGCAUUUGAUGGGACGGCUAUCAAAGCUGCCUACAUGGGUUUCGUCGCUCAACAACUUGGCCAGUCUGUCGCUUCGAGAGAACCUCCACUUGGCUGAGGAAUCCUUUGAAAUUCUGGCGAAGCUUCCCAGUCUUGUAUCUCUCAAGCUAUACAGCAAGGGAUAUGUGGGGAGUGCCUUAUGUUUUGAAGAGGGCGGGUUUCCCCGGCUGAAGCAACUGGUCGUGGAUAAUAUGGAUGAGCUCGAGGAGCUCAGCUUCCGCGGGGGUGCGGCUAACCUUGAGAGGCUGACAUUGGCUUUCAUGAGGGUGCUCAGUAGAGGCAUUAAUGGCAUUGGAAAAGAAAACCUACCACAGCUAAGAGAAGUUGAGUUCUUCAGUGGCGUUAUAGAUUCUAUAUUCUGUAAGGUGUUUGAGGCGGCCAAAGAAUAUAAAAAUCGUCCGAAAGUCACCAGGGACGAUCGACCUACUAUAGAAGCCGCACAAGCAUCCGCCCAGCAAGUGAACGACACCGCAGGGGCGAGGAGCAGUGAGCAGGAGUCAACCGACCAGCAGGUGGAUAGGCCUGCAGAUGACGAGGCAGCGCCAGCUUGGCGUCUACUGCCUUCUACGUGUCCUCUCGCUUAUAUACUGUAA
rnacentral:rRNA from 1 species